rnacentral:rRNA from 1 species
UACGUAGGGAGCAAGCGUUGUCCGGAAUCAUUGGGCGUAAAGCGCGCGUAGGUGGCCUCAUAAGUCCGCUGUGAAAGUCAAAGGCUCAACCUUUGAAAGCCGGUGGAUACUGUGAGGCUAGAGUACGGAAGAGGCGAGUGGAAUUCCUGGUGUAGCGGUGGAAUGCGCAGAUAUCCGGAGGAACACCAAUAGCGAAGGCAGCUCGCUGGGACGUUACUGACACUGAGGCGCGAAAGCGUGGGGAGCGAACAGG